rnacentral:rRNA from 1 species
UGGGGGAAUUUUGGACAAUGGGGGAAACCCUGAUCCAGCCAUCCCGCGUGUGCGAUGAAGGCCUUCGGGUUGUAAAGCACUUUUGGCAGGAAAGAAACGUCGCGGGUUAAUACCCCGCGAAACUGACGGUACCUGCAGAAUAAGCACCGGCUAACUACGUGCCAGCAGCCGCGGUAAUACGUAGGGUGCAAGCGUUAAUCGGAAUUACUGGGCGUAAAGCGUGCGCAGGCGGUUCGGAAAGAAAGAUGUGAAAUCCCAGAGCUUAACUUUGGAACUGCAUUUUUAACUACCGGGCUAGAGUGUGUCAGAGGGAGGUGGAAUUCCGCGUGUAGCAGUGAAAUGCGUAGAUAUGCGGAGGAACACCGAUGGCGAAGGCAGCCUCCUGGGAUAACACUGACGCUCAUGCACGAAAGCGUGGGGAGCAAACAGGAUUAGAUACCCUGGUAGUCCACGCCCUAAACGAUGUCAACUAGCUGUUGGGGCCUUCGGGCCUUGGUAGCGCAGCUAACGCGUGAAGUUGACCGCCUGGGGAGUACGGUCGCAAGAUUAAAACUCAAAUGAA